rnacentral:rRNA from 1 species
GACGAACGCUGGCGGCGUGCUUAACACAUGCAAGUCGAACGGAAAGGCCCUGCUUUUGUGGGUUGCUCGAGUGGCGAACGGGUGAGUAACACGUGAGUAACCUGCCCUUGACUUUGGGAUAACUUCAGGAAACUGGGGCUAAUACCGGAUAGGAGCUCCUGCUGCAUGUUGUGGGUUGGAAAGUUUCGGCGGUUCGGGAUGGACUCGCGGCUUAUCAGCUUGUUGGUGGGGUAGUGGCUUACCAAGGCUAUGACGGGUAGCCGGCCUGAGAGGGUGACCGGCCACAUUGGGACUGAGAUACGGCCCAGACUCCUACGGGAGGCAGCAGUGGGGAAUAUUGCACAAUGGGCGGAAGCCUGAUGCAGCAACGCCGCGUGCGGGAUGACGGCCUUCGGGUUGUAAACCGCUUUCGCCUGUGACGAAGCGUGAGUGACGGUAAUGGGUAAAGAAGCACCGGCUAACUACGUG